rnacentral:rRNA from 1 species
GACGUAGGGGGCCAGCGUUGUUCGGAAUUACUGGGUGUAAAGGGUUCGUAGGCGGUGUGGCAAGUCGGGAGUGAAAUCUCUGGGCUCAACCCAGAGACUGCUUCCGAAACUGCUGUGCUUGAGUGUGAGAGAGGCUCGUGGAAUUGCAGGUGUAGCGGUGAAAUGCGUAGAUAUCUGCAGGAACACCCGUGGCGAAAGCGGCGAGCUGGAUCACUACUGACGCUGAGGAGCGAAAGCAUGGGGAGCAAACAGG